rnacentral:rRNA from 1 species
AUGGCACCUGAAACCGAUCACCACGGACGCGCCGAUCACGUCGUGCUGUUCCCCUUCAUGGCGCAGGGCCACCUCUCGCCGUUCCGCUGCCUUGCCGCCCUCGUGCGCCGCUGCCGCCCCGACGCCCGGGUAACCUUCGUCGCCACCUCCGGCACGGCCGACUCCAUCCGCGCCCACCUCGAAGACGAAGGCAUCUCCGUCCAUGCCCUCCCCUUCCGCCCUGCCGACGCCUCACAGCAGCUCAUCGACCUCUUCCUCGCCUCCGAGUCUCUCCGCCCAGCGUUCCACCAGUUCAUCGUCGAUCUCAGACGCUCCGACCCGCAUACUGACGUGCACGUCGUGGCGGACAUGUUCCUGGCCUGGACGGCGGACGUCGCCCGCGGCGACCCCGGCGUCACGCACUCCGUCCUGCUCACCACCGGCGGCUACGCCUCGGCGAUCUACUUCUCGCUCUGGAACAGCGUCCCGCUUGUCCGCAAGGACGACGAUGACGAGUGCUUCCGGCUGCCGAGCUUCCCGGGCAUCAGCGUCCACCGUUCGCAGAUCACCAAUCACCUCGCGGCGGCCGACGGCGGCGACGCGUGGUCCACCUUCAUCCGGAGGCAGAUCGCCGCCUUCUCCCGUGCCGACGCGCUGCUCGUCAACACCGCCGAGAAGCUGGAGCCCAAGGGAUUAAGCAUGCUCCGCCAAUGGCUCAACAAUGUCCCGAUGUUCCCAGUCGGGCCGCUGCUCCGGGCGGCAAGUUCGUCGUCCCUCGAGGAGACGACAUCGAGUAGCCCCGUCUUGGCGUGGCUCGACAAGCAACCGCCUGGCUCAGUGCUGUACGUGUCGUUCGGGUCGCUGUACACGAUCUCCACGUCGCAGACGACGGAGCUGGCAAUGGGGCUCGAGAAGAGCGGGCACAAGUUCGUGUGGGUGGUCCAGCCCGCCACCGACGUGAACGGCAGCGAGUCGCGGUCGUCCGGCCUUCCGGAUGGGUUCGCGCAGAGGAUGGAGGCGGCAGGGCGCGGGCUGGUGGUGCGGUGCUGGGCGCCACAGGUGGAGAUCUUGGCUCACCCGGCCACGGGCGGCUUCCUGACCCACUGCGGGUGGAACUCGGCGCAGGAGAGCCUCGCCUGCGGUGUGCCGAUGGUCGGCUGGUCGCUCUCGGCGGAGCAAUUCUACAACGCCAAGUUGCUAGUGGAGGAGAUGGGGGUGUGCGUCGAGCUGGCACGCGGUGCCGCGGCGGCCGUGACGAGGGACGAGGUGGCGGAAGCAGUGGAGAGGGUGCUCGGCGAGACGUCUAGAGUGAGGGCCGCAAUGAGACGGAAGGCCGCGAAGAUGAAGGAGGUGAUUGACGCCGCGACGGACGGCGACGGUGAGGAGUCGUCGCUGGGAGUGACGCGGAGGUUCUUGGACGCGAUGGCGCGUACGUCGUCGUGCUCUAGAAGCUAA